AGGCCUUGGUUAGCAAAAUUUGUGAUGAGACCAGAUAGACUGAGGAAGGGUCCUGGGAUGGUGUUAUUAGCAGUGCCCCUACUUGCGGUGGUUGAAUCCCUUCUUCCCAACCCCACUUCCCAUGAAGGACCCCCUAACUGCAAAUAUUUUCCAUGAAAAGAAAAGAUAGUAAGUAUCAUUUUAAUAAUUAAAAUAUAUUAGUCUUUGAAAAAAAAUGUGAUCAAUGCAGUCAUUUUACAACAACAAUUUAGUUUUUGAAAAUGACUAAAUUGAUCUUUUUUUCCAUCUUUCCAAAUUGGAAAGAGUAGUUUUCAUGUUUUAGAGGCUAAAGUGAUCAACUCAAUAUUUUUUGAGGAUUAAAAAUGAUGGUUUAAUCAAGCACAAUUUAUUAUUCAAUAUUUCAUGGACCAUAAUUGAUAGUUGUUAAGAAAAUUUCCUGAACAACAGAGUCUCUAGCAGCCAGAGCAAGAACAUCAGCACAGGACACUACACCAGGGCAUUGUUUCUCCAAAUUGGCUUUAAUACCAUCAAUCACGUUGAAGCCUCUAGCUGAUCUGUUGUUAGCUGCUGCCG
rnacentral:lncRNA from 1 species